rnacentral:rRNA from 1 species
AUUCCAGCUCCAAUAGCGUAUAUUAAAGUUGUUGCAGUUAAAAAGCUCGUAGUUGGAUUUCUGGUUGAAGCGACCGGUCGGGCGUUGAUUCGUCUGCACUGGAGUCGGUUUUGGCCAUCCUCUAGGAAAGUGCGUCUGGUAUUAAGUUGUCGGGCGUAUGAUCCUGGUCUUUUACUGUGAAAAAAUUAGAGUGUUUAAAGCAGGCCUUCGCCUUGAAUACAUUAGCAUGGAAUAAUAAGAUAGGACUUUGGUCUAUUUUGUUGGUUUGCAGACCGAAGUAAUGAUUAACAGGGAUAGUUGGGGGUAUUUAUAUUCCGAUGUCAGAGGUGAAAUUCUUAGAUUUUCGGAAGAUAAACUUAUGCGAGAGCAUUUACCAAGGAUGUUUUCAUCG